ensembl:lncRNA
UGCCAAGAUUAUGCAAACUUUCACACUCAACUGUAUACAAAAUGAAGCAGAAUCACUUGACAGGUUUUUCGUGCAGAAUUUUAUGCUCCACUUUCAAGUGUUCAGACUGUCACACAUUUCCAGGUCGGCUAGCACAUGAAAGCCUGGAAAACUCUCGAUGCCACACUUGUGCUGAAAAGACCUCGUCGUCCAAAUGCAGCACUAAUAUUCCAACAGUUCAGCAUCAUUCUGAAACACAAUUCUGGACUGCAAAGGCUUACAGUGAGGAAAGAAAAGCAACCAGACCCUUUAAUGAAGAAUGAUGGCAAGUAGGCACAGAUUCAAUGAGCUUUCCUUUACUUUUGCUGAAGUUCUGAUAAAGCUCUGCAGAGCUCCCCAAAUCUGUAAUUACUCACUCUGUACCACAGUUGAGUUAAAGGCAAAAC